UACGUAGGGUCCGAGCGUUGUCCGGAAUCACUGGGCGUAAAGGGUGCGUAGGCGGGUUUUUAAGUCAGGGGUGAAAUCCUGGAGCUCAACUCCAGAACUGCCUUUGAUACUGAAGAUCUUGAGUCCGGGAGAGGUGAGUGGAACUGCGAGUGUAGAGGUGAAAUUCGUAGAUAUUCGCAAGAACACCAGUGGCGAAGGCGGCUCACUGGCCCGGUACUGACGCUGAGGCACGAAAGCGUGGGGAGCAAACAGG
rnacentral:rRNA from 1 species